rnacentral:rRNA from 1 species
AGUGAACGCUGGCGGUAGGCCUAACACAUGCAAGUCGAACGGCAGCACAGGAGAGCUUGCUCUCUGGGUGGCGAGUGGCGGACGGGUGAGGAAUACAUCGGAAUCUACUCUGUCGUGGGGGAUAACGUAGGGAAACUUACGCUAAUACCGCAUACGACCUACGGGUGAAAGCAGGGGACCUUCGGGCCUUGCGCGAUUGAAUGAGCCGAUGUCGGAUUAGCUAGUUGGCGGGGUAAAGGCCCACCAAGGCGACGAUCCGUAGCUGGUCUGAGAGGAUGAUCAGCCACACUGGAACCGAGACACGGUCCAGACUCCUACGGGAGGCAGCAGUGGGGAAUAUUGGACAAUGGGCGCAAGCCUGAUCCAGCCAUACCGCGUGGGUGAAGAAGGCCUUCGGGUUGUAAAGCCCUUUUGUUGGGAAAGAAAUCCAGCUGGCUAAUACCCGGUUGGGAUGACGGUACCCAAAGAAUAAGCACCGGCUAACUCCGUGCCAGCCGCCGCUGUAA